rnacentral:rRNA from 1 species
CCUACGGGUGGCAGCAGUGAGGAAUAUUGGUCAAUGGACGGAAGUCUGAACCAGCCAUGCCGCGUGCAGGAAGACGGCUCUAUGAGUUGUAAACUGCUUUUGUACAAGGGUAAACCUGAAUACGUGUAUUCAGCUGAAAGUACUGUACGAAUAAGCAUCGGCUAACUCCGUGCCAGCAGCCGCGGUAAUACGGAGGAUCCAAGCGUUAUCCGGAUUUAUUGGGUUUAAAGGGUGCGUAGGCGGAUUGAUAAGUUAGAGGUGAAAUGUCCGAGCUUAACUCGGGAACUGCCUCUAAUACUGUUGGUCUAGAGAGUAGAUGCGGUAGGCGGAAUGUAUGGUGUAGCGGUGAAAUGCUUAGAGAUCAUACAGAACACCGAUUGCGAAGGCAGCUUACCAAUCUAUAUCUGACGUUGAGGCACGAAAGCGUGGGGAGCAAACAGGAUUAGAUACCCGUGUAGUC